rnacentral:rRNA from 1 species
UACGUAGGGUGCAAGCGUUAAUCGGAAUUACUGGGCGUAAAGCGUGCGCAGGCGGUGAUGUAAGACAGAUGUGAAAUCCCCGGGCUCAACCUGGGAACUGCAUUUGUGACUGCAUCGCUGGAGUACGGCAGAGGGGGGUGGAAUUCCGCGUGUAGCAGUGAAAUGCGUAGAGAUGUGGAGGAACACCGAUGGCGAAGGCAGCCCCCUGGGCCAACACUGACGCUCAGGCACGAAAGCGUGGGGAGCAAACAGG